CUUCUCCAGGGGAUCUUCCCGACCCAGGGAUCGAACCCAGGUCUCUCGCAUUGCAGGCAGACGCUUUAACCUCUGAGCCACCAGGGAAGCCCUCUCCUUACACUUAGGCCGAACCAAAUGACGCCAACGGACUACAGUUGGGUGUUUCCCUUCCCCAGGUGCUGGUACUUGCUUCCCCUGAGGGUCAGGCCUUGUUAAGAAGAACAGACUGUACUGAGUAUUUAAAAUGGUUCCUUUCUCCCUCUCGUGCUGGUAGCCUGAGGGGAUUCUUCUCAGGUACUUGUUACUACUAGGGGGAACUGCUGGAGCUACUGCUGGUAAACCUCAUGAUAUUUGGGGCCCCCCACCACUGCUGAGCUCCUGCUGGUGAAUCUCAUGAUAUUUGGGGGUCCCUCUACCCCUGUGGUCUUAGGUUUUUAAGCUCAGAGUUAUCCACACCGAGCCUCCAGCAGUCUUUCAAUUACAGUUCAGCUUUUCUUGCAUGACAUUGGUCCCCAGGGUUUUGACCUGUGAGUUUCACUCUGGCUAAGAUAUACCAUUUUGCAACCAGGAGACAGAAGCCAAGAGAAUUGUGGAGGCAUUGGCUCUGCGGUUUGAUGAGCUGCUGAGAUAAAACCAGGAAACACCUACCUCCAGAAUUCUUGGAUAAGGAAGGUCGUAAACUAUUUAAAAGGCAACUUUCCAGCUGUGUUUAUCACAUCCACUGGAAGAGAGCCCAUGAAGGGACACAGCAAGGACCCCAUGGGGGGAGCAUCCUCAAAUUAAGCCCAGUG